GGGGACGCGUGGUUUCGACAGGGGAGGUAGGCUACAGGAUUGCAGGCUGAGGUGCCACUAUCUCAAUAAACAGGUGGCAAAAAAAGAAACGACGAACCAGUAUUAAUCGCAGCCUAACAAAAUAAGGUUGCACAUCCUACCCGACCCCGCCCUGGCGGGUUGGGAUAGGGUGCCGAAAUGCCGGGGUGCCGUCGCUCUACUAACCGGUAAGGGCGACGAAAGAAAAACCGGUCUGGCCCGGCUUAACUAGGUCGGCAGAGGUAAGCGGGGCGAGAUUAAAGAGCCGACUAAGCCUGUAGCAUAUUCUGGGCAGCUUCCUUUGGACGGGGAGUUCGACUCUCCCCCGUCUCCACCA
rnacentral:tmRNA from 1 species